CUGUGGUGUGGACGGCGCUGAAGCCGACGACCCAAAUUGCCCUGCGUUCAGGGCCAGGCCCGACCCAAAUGCUGGUGCACUGGCGGCUGUGGUUGAUCCAAAAGGACUAGGUGUUGCACUCGCCCCUGACCCAGCUGUGGUUGAUCCGAAAAGAUUAGGUGUUGUACUCGCCCCUGACCCAGCUGUGGUUGAUCCGAAAAGAUUAGGUGUUGCACUCGCCCCUGACCC